rnacentral:rRNA from 1 species
GUGGGAUCCCGGCCCCGCGGGGUCGGGCGCACCACCGGCCCGUCUCGCCCGCACCGUCGGGGAGGUGGAGCGUGAGCGCGUGCNAUANGACCCGAAAGAUGGUGAACUAUGCCUGGGCAGGGC